rnacentral:rRNA from 1 species
CCCUUGAUGUUCUGGGCCGCACGCGCGCUACACUGACGAUGGCAACGAGUUUUUCCUUCGCCGAAAGGUGUGGGUAAUCUUUUGAAACAUCGUCGUGCUGGGGAUAGAUCAUUGCAAUUUUUGAUCUUGAACGAGGAAUUCCUAGUAAGCGCGAGUCAUCAGCUCGCGUUGAUUACGUCCCUGCCCUUUGUACACACCGCCCGUCGCUACUACCGAUUGAAUGGUUUAGUGAGGACUCCUGAUUGGCGCCGCCGCCCCGGCAACGGAGCAGCGGACUGCCGAAAAGUUGUUCAAACUUGAUCAUUUAGAGGAAGUAAAAGUCGUAACA